rnacentral:misc_RNA from 1 species
CUUUGGGCAAACCAAACCCGGUUGAAAAGAGUGGAAGGAAGCUCUAAACGACGAAGGCAUGCGAUUUAGGCUUUUUGCGACAAUCUACUCCUUAUUUAUUGAUUAAUCAUCAAAAUCUGAAAUUUAACAGUUGAUUGCUCGGUUCUUUUGCAAUUAAAUCAAAAUUAUCUUAGUCGACUCUGUGAUCUUAGACAUGACUGAGUAUUGGGUUAGCCAAGGUAAUAAAUGGUGCGACUUCUGCAAAAUCUACAUAUCAAACAAUCCUUCCAGCAUUAGGAACCAUGAGCUUGGCCAACGUCAUAAGGAAAAUGUUUCCAAGAGGCUUGCUUCUAUGAGAAAAGAGAAUGCUGCCAAGGAGAAGCAACAGAAGGAAGCAGCCCGCGCCCUUGAGCAAAUUGAAGUUAAAGCUAAGCGUAGCUAUCAGAAGGAUGUUGCAAAUUUUCAGGAGGCAAGCAAUGUCCAUGCAUUAGAUAUUCAAGAGGAUGGUCAAGAGGAAUGGGAGUGUGACAAAACUUCAGGCUAUUACUACAACCAAAGCACUGGGUUACACUAUGAUCCAAAAUCAGGCUUUUAUUAUACCGAUGCUUUGGGCAAGUGGGUGACUCAAGAAGAGGCAUAUGCUUCAAUUCAGGUUUCAUCAAAUUCCAAGCGUAAAGAAUCCAGUUUGAAAAAGCCUAUAACAAUGUCAACAGCAGGUUUAGUAAAGGAAACCAAAAGUGCUGCUCAAAAUGGGCCCCCACCUGGUCCUGUUGUUUCAGCUUCUUUAAACCCUAUGAGAUCUGUUAAAGGAGCUACUUCAGCAGUUGCUGUUAACAAGAGAAAGAGGCAGGAUGAGAAGCCAAAGGUUAUAUCUGAAGGAGAAAAAGCUGCACUUAAAGCUAGGGAGGCUGCAAAGAAGAGAGUUGAGGAGAGGGAGAAAUCUUUGCUUGGCCUUUACAAACGUUGAUUUGGAAUGCACUCAAGGGUAUGCUCUUCGCAUUUUCUUUCAGAAUUUUACCCAAAGUUUGAAUAACAAAAUAUGAUAUUGCGUUUGGAUGAACUUGAAUUUGGGAUACUUGAAUAUGAUGAAUUGAUGAUGCAUAUAUUUCGAUGAUUGUUUAGAGUCUAAAAUUUAGGUUAAAUUCAUGAAUUUGAAUAAAAGCUUGUGUAGAUUUGAAAUACUUUUUGAUAUGCAUGAACCAAUAAAUUAAAGAAUGUGCUAACAAUUUAAACUAGAGUAAUGCCUGAACUCCCUCAUUGGAAGUUUAUCCAAUUAUAGCAUAAGUUGAUAUGGAUUCGGUUUUGAAAAAUAUGGAAGAAUUGCUUCCCUAGUGUGUUUCUCAGAUUGAACUGCUGUUCAUCACUGUCAUUCUCUCUUCACUCAUGCAUGAUUUGAUUGCUCUUGUGAUCCUUAUUUUGCAAAGUUGUCGUGAUUGAAGGUCUAAUAAUGUCUUGCUGGCCUGAAUUAUCAAUGCAUAACAAGCCAAAUAAUUCCUUGUUUUUGUUGUGGGCUUUGACCAUAAAUCUUUUGCCUUAAUGUUGACCUUAUUUGCUAAGCAGGAAAAUAUUAUGCCCCACCUAUUAUUUAAACAGCCUUCACUUUAAAAUGUCAAUGGCUGCUUUAACUGACAUAACAUAUAAGGAUGUAGCCUAGGUACACAAGUCCAUAUAACAAAUAAACAUCUAAAUAGCCAAUACCUGGUUCAAACCUUAGACAUCACAUUCUCCCAUCCCCUGCUGUGGGGUACAUCACAUUCUCCCAUCCCCUGCUGUGGGGUUUACCUUAAAGUAAGUUUCAUAACUGAAGGAAAUUAAAGGAGUUGAUCAUAAAUAAGAAAAAAGACCCCAGUAUUAAGCGCAUUUUUACAGGGAAGAGGGCAUAGAGGGAGGCAAUUGUAGUACCAUCUAUAAUACUUACAAAGUUGAUGAGAUGGACUGAAAUUUUGUACAGUGAGUUCCACCAUUCUCAAGUGUGAUGUUGGGAAAAAAUUUUUAGCAUUGCCAAUUUGCCAUGUGGGGCUUAUGGUGGCAACUUUUGCUUGGUGUGUAGUUUGAAAAAAGCAUGGUUGAUGUACACCCAGGCCCUAGUUCACCUUCCUUGGGUAGGGUCAAGCAAGGAACCAUCUAAAGUGAGUGCCUAGUUAUGCUCCUUAGGGGCCUGAGCAAUGGCCAUUCUGUCAUUUCAACCAACCCCAAGCAAGGGAAAUGCUUUUGGCUCGCCCAGAGAAGGGCCAAGGCCAUAUGUAGCAGGUUUAAGAUAAAGAAGAUUGGCCAUUGUCGAUCCCAGACCAAGUGACCUCCGGAAACAGAUUCGGAUUCAGUGACCAAGGGGCAAUAGUUCAUUAUUUUACUUGUGGUUUUUAACUAGUACUGUUGGAUUUUUUUU